rnacentral:misc_RNA from 1 species
GAUGAAGAACGUAGCGAAAUGCGAUACGUAAUGUGAAUUGCAGAAUUCAGUGAAUCAUCGAAUCUUUGAACGCAUAUUGCGCUCUCUGGUAUUCCGGAGAGCAUGCUUGUUUGAGUAUCAGUAAACACCUCAACUCCCCUUUCUUUUUUUGAAAUGGGAGCUGGACUUGAGUGAUCCCAACGCUUUUCUCACCGAAAAGUGGCGGGUUACUUGAAAUGCAGGUGCAGCUGGACUUUUCUCUGAGCUAAAAGCAUAUCUAUUUAGUCUGCCUAAAAAACAGAUUAUUACCUUUGCUGCAGCUAACAUAAAGGAGAUUAGUUCUUGUGCUGACUGAUGCAGGAUUCACAGAGACAGCUUCGGCUGGCCUUUGUAAACUCGAUCUCAAAUCAAGUAAGACUGCCCGCUGAACUUAAGCAUAUCAAUAAGCGGAGGA